rnacentral:rRNA from 1 species
GACGAACGCUGGCGGCGUGCUUAACACAUGCAAGUCGAACGGUAAGGCCCUUCGGGUACACGAGUGGCGAACGGGUGAGUAACACGUGGGUGAUCUGCCCUGCACUUCGGGAUAAGCCUGGGAAACUGGGUCUAAUACCGGAUAGGACCACUGCCUGCAUGGGUGGUGGUGGAAAGCUUUUGCGGUGUGGGAUGGGCCCGCGGCCUAUCAGCUUGUUGGUGGGGUGAUGGCCUACCAAGGCGACGACGGGUAGCCGGCCUGAGAGGGUGACCGGCCACACUGGGACUGAGAUACGGCCCAGACUCCUACGGGAGGCAGCAGUGGGGAAUAUUGCACAAUGGGCGCAAGCCUGAUGCAGCGACGCCACGUGAGGGAUGACGGCCUUCGGGUUGUAAACCUCUUUCAGCACCGACGAAGCGCAAGUGACGGUAGGUGCAGAAGAAGGACCGGCCAACUACGUGCCAGCAGCCGCCGUAA